CACAUGCAAGUUGAACGGGGAUAAUGAUUUCGGUUGUUAUCCUAGUAGCGGACGGGUGAGUAACGCGUGAGUAACCUACCUUUGUGAGGGGGACAACAGCUGGAAACGGCUGCUAAUACCGCAUAAGGCCACGACCUCGAGGGAGGAUGUGGUAAUAGAUUUAUCGCACAGAGAUGGACUCGCGUCCCAUUAGCUAGUUGGUGAGGGAACGGCUCACCAAGGCGACGAUGGGGAGCCGGCCUGAGAGGGUGAUCGGCCACACUGGAACUGAGACACGGUCCAGACUCCUACGGGAGGCAGCAGUGGGGAAUAUUGGGCAAUGGGCGCAAGCCUGACCCAGCAACGCCGCGUGAGGGAAGACGGUCUUCGGAUUGUAAACCUCUGUCCUUGGGGACGAAAAAAAUGACGGUACCCAAGGAGGAAGCUCCGGCUAACUACGUGCCAGCAGCCGCGGUAAUACGUAGGGAGCAAGCGUUGUCCGGAAUUACUGGGCGUAAAGGGUGCGUAGGCGGUCAGGCAAGUCAGAUGUGAAAUCCCCGGGCUUAACUCGGGUGGUGCAUUUGAAACUGCUUGACUUGAGUGCAGGAGAGGAAAGCGGAAUUCCUAGUGUAGCGGUGAAAUGCGUAGAUAUUAGGAGGAACACCAGUGGCGAAGGCGGCUUUCUGGACUGUAACUGACGCUGAGGCACGAAAGCGUGGGGAGCAAACAGGAUUAGAUACCCUGGUAGUCCACGCUGUAAACGAUGGAUACUAGGUGUGGGGGAGAUACAACCUCCGUGCCGCAGCUAAAACGCAUUAAGUAUCCCGCCUGGGGAGUACGGCCGCAAGGUUGAAACUCAAAGGAAUUGACGGGGGCCCGCACAAGCAGCGGAGCAUGUGGUUUAAUUCGAAGCAACGCGAAGAACCUUACCAGGUCUUGACAUCCAGUAAAAACUGUAGAGAUACAGUGUGCCUUCGGGCGUACUGAGACAGGUGGUGCAUGGUUGUCGUCAGCUCGUGUCGUGAGAUGUUGGGUUAAGUCCCGCAACGAGCGCAACCCUUAUUUUCAGUUACUAACGCGUAACGGCGAGGACUCUGAAGAGACUGCCGGGGACAACUCGGAGGAAGGUGGGGACGACGUCAAAUCAUCAUGCCCCUUAUGACCUGGGCUACACACGUGCUACAAUGGCUACUACAAAGAGGAGCAAGCCCGCAAGGGGGAGCGGAUCUGAGAAAAGUAGUCCCAGUUCGGAUCGUGGGCUGCAACCCGCCCACGUGAAGUCGGAGUUGCUAGUAAUCGCGGAUCAGCAUGCCGCGGUGAAUAAGUUCCCGG
rnacentral:rRNA from 1 species